AUCCUGCCAGUAGUCAUAUGCUUGUCUCAAAGAUUAAGCCAUGCAUGUCUAAGUAUAAGCGACUAUACUGUGAAACUGCGAAUGGCUCAUUAAAUCAGUUAUGGUUUAUUUGAUGGUACCUUGCUACUUGGAUAACCGUAGUAAUUCUAGAGCUAAUACAUGCAGGAGUUCCCGACUCACGGAGGGAUGUAUUUAUUAGAUAAGAAACCAAACCGGUCUCCGGUUGCGUGCUGAGUCAUAAUAACUGCUCGAAUCGCACGGCUCUACGCCGGCGAUGGUUCAUUCAAAUUUCUGCCCUAUCAGCUUUCGAUGGUAGGAUAGAGGCCUACCAUGGCGUUAACGGGUAACGGAGAAUUAGGGUUCGAUUCCGGAGAGGGAGCCUGAGAAAUGGCUACCACAUCCAAGGAAGGCAGCAGGCGCGUAAAUUGCCCGAAUCCUGACACAGGGAGGUAGUGACAAGAAAUAACAAUACAGGGCUACUUCUAGUCUUGUAAUUGGAAUGAGUACAACUUACAUCUCUUCACGAGGAUCAAUUGGAGGGCAAGUCUGGUGCCAGCAGCCGCGGUAAUUCCAGCUCCAAUAGCGUAUAUUAAAGUUGUUGCAGUUAAAAAGCUCGUAGUCGGAUUUCGGGUCGGGCCGAGCGGUCUGCCGAUGGGUAUGCACUGUUUGGCGCGGCCUUCUUUCCGGAGACCGCGGCUACUCUUAACCCCUUCCGUGCCACCGGGGACGGACGGACACCCCCAACACGCCUUUCACUCUAGCACCGUCCACCACGUCCACUGACACGUUUUCUAGCAUAAUGGUCCGAUAGAGGGUGCCCAAGCGGAACUUUUUCCCAGUUCACCCCCCAUCUAGAAAUCGAUUCCUGAGGCUUGGCGCUCAUCCUUGUCCAUCCCUGAGAAUGCCAUGGUCAUUCGUUAAACAUGGUCUGAACAUGCCUCAAUAGAGCUGGCCGUCUGGAACCAGACUAGUCGGUAGGGUUCCCACCCGCAUGCCCAGCGUUUGAGUGUGGUGACGAUGCCGUGAGGCUGAGUCGGAUGGUCAUCGUUGCGCAGAUGAGCGACUGCGAGGCUGGUUGAGCAUCGAUCUUUAAACGCGUCUGGUCGAUCUGCCGUUGGUGCCCAA
rnacentral:rRNA from 1 species